GGAGGCUCCUCACUAUGUGAAGUGUGGGCUGGAGCUAACAAAGUUUGCCGCUUAGAAGAUAUAUAACAUGUGCUCCGACCUUGGUGGCUUUUUUCUCAAGGUUGCCCAAAUCAUUGGGAAGCCUGACUUAGCCCCGGCUGCAUGGGUUAGAAGGCUUGUUACGCUGUGCGAUCAAUCCCCUGCAACCCCAUAUGAUGUCAUCUGAGUGGUGCUAGAGAAGGAGUUGGGUCAAAGUUUAGAUGGAUUGUUCAAAAGAUUUGAAGUGAAUCCUCUUGGUUCUGCUUCUAUUGGUAACUGAGGUGCACCGAGCGAGAUUAAAAGGUGACAAAAGAGAUGUUGUUGUCAAGGUAAGGAUACUUUAACUUUGCUUCCCCUAUAUGUUUUACAGGUUUAGACUGAUAUGGUGAUGUAGGUGCAACAUCCUGGUGUUCAGUAGUUGAUGAUGACAGAUAUUCGUAACCUGCAAGCUUUUGCAUUAUACAUGCAAAAGACAGAUAUCAAAUUCGAUCUCUUCUCUAUAACUAAGGAAAUGGAGAAACAGGUGUGCAUAACAUUUCAACCUGGUAUUUUAAAUGAUUUUGUGGCAACAACUUGUGCUUUCUGUUCAUAAAGCCCGUGAAACCUGAUCAUAAUUUUGUCUUGCCAAAGAAAAGGGAAAAACGUAAAAUUGGAGAGAAAAAAACUGAGGAUAAAUGUUGAAUGUGCUUUACUGUUUUUAUCUUGUGAUGGGAUACAAGAGCCAUCAGUCUUUUGAAACCCUACUUGAAUAAUGUACAUGAUGAUUGAGUGAUGACAUAAUAGUUGUUCAAUCAAUAAGCCCAAUACAGUACUAUUUAUUGAAUGGAGAGUGUAGGAUUAUAUA